UGAACUUUCCCUGAAGUUCCCAGCAAGACUAGCUGGUUGAUAGGCUGGAUGUGUAAUGGGUGUAAGCCCUUUAGCUGACCAGUACUAAUAGAACGUUUGGCUUAUUUUUAACAA
rnacentral:rRNA from 1 species